GGGGUUGUGGCUCAGUGGUAGAGUGCGCGCCUCACACAUGCGAGACCCUGGGUUCAAUCCUCAGCACCACA
rnacentral:tRNA from 1 species